rnacentral:rRNA from 1 species
AGAGUUUGAUCAUGGCUCAGAACGAACGCUGGCGGCAGGCUUAACACAUGCAAGUCGAACGCACCUUCGGGUGAGUGGCAGACGGGUGAGUAACACGUGGGAACGUGCCCUUCAGUUCGGAAUAACCCAGGGAAACUUGGGCUAAUACCGGAUACGUGCGAGAGCAGAAAGAUUUAUCGCUGAAGGAUCGGCCCGCGUCUGAUUAGCUAGUUGGUGGGGUAAUGGCCCACCAAGGCGACGAUCAGUAGCUGGUCUGAGAGGAUGAUCAGCCACAUUGGGACUGAGACACGGCCCAAACUCCUACGGGAGGCAGCAGUGGGGAAUAUUGGACAAUGGGCGCAAGCCUGAUCCAGCCAUGCCGCGUGAGUGAUGAAGGCCUUAGGGUUGUAAAGCUCUUUCGGCGGGGACGAUAAUGACGGUACCCGCAGAAGAAGCCCCGGCUAACUUCGUGCCAGCAGCCGCGGUAAUACGAAGGGGGCUAGCGUUGUUCGGAAUCACUGGGCGUAAAGGGCGCGUAGGCGGCUUGAUAAGUCGGGGGUGAAAGCCUGUGGCUCAACCACAGAAUUGCCUUCGAUACUGUCUGGCUUGAGACCGGAAGAGGUAAGUGGAACUGCGAGUGUAGAGGUGAAAUUCGUAGAUAUUCGCAAGAACACCAGUGGCGAGGGCGGCUUACUGGUCCGGUUCUGACGCUGAGGCGCGAAAGCGUGGGAGCAAACAGGAUUAGAUACCCUAGUAGUCC